rnacentral:rRNA from 1 species
GAUGAACGCUAGCGGCAGGCUUAAUACAUGCAAGUCGAGGGGCAGCGCAGUGUAGCAAUACAUGGGCGGCGACCGGCAAACGGGUGCGGAACACGUACGCAACCUACCCAAAACUGAUGAAUAGCCCUCCGAAAGGAGGAUUAAUACAUCGUAACAUAAUUGAAUGGCAUCAUUUAAUUAUUAUAGCUCCGACGGUUUUGGAUGGGCGUGCGCCUGAUUAGAUAGUUGGCGGGGUAACGGCCCACCAAGUCUGCGAUCAGUAACUGGUGUGAGAGCA